GGGGAUGUAGCUCAAAUGGUAGAGCGCUCGCUUAGCUUGCGAGAGGUUCCAGGAUCGACACCUGGCAUCUCCA
rnacentral:tRNA from 1 species